UACGUAGGGGGCAAGCGUUGUCCGGAAUUACUGGGCGUAAAGGGCGCGUAGGCGGUCGUGACAAGUCACUUGUGAAAUCUCCGGGCUUAACUCGGAACGGUCAAGUGAUACUGUCGGACUAGAGUACAGAAGGGGCAACUGGAAUUCUCGGUGUAGCGGUGAAAUGCGUAGAUAUCGAGAGGAACACCUGCGGCGAAGGCGGGUUGCUGGGCUGAUACUGACGCUGAGGCGCGAAAGCCAGGGGAGCGAACGGG
rnacentral:rRNA from 1 species